GCAUUGAAACAUUGGUUCCUGUACGAUUACCGAAGUUAAGCAAUGUCGAGCUUGGUUAGUACCUAAAUGGGUGACUGCUUGGGAGUACAAGGUGCUGUAAG